rnacentral:tRNA from 1 species
GGGCCCAUAGCUCAGUUGGUUAGAGCAGCGGACUCAUAAUCCGUUGGUCGCAGGUUCGAGUCCUGCUGGGCCCA